CAGCAGCCGCGGUAAUACGUAGGUGGCGAGCGUUAUCCGGAAUUAUUGGGCGUAAAGAGCGCGCAGGUGGUUGAUUAAGUCUGAUGUGAAAGCCCGCGGCUUAACCGUGGAGGGUCAUUGGAAACUGGUCGACUUGAGUGCAGAAGAGGGAAGUGGAAUUCCAUGUGUAGCGGUGAAAUGCGUAGAGAUAUGGAGGAACACCAGUGGCGAAGGCGGCUUCCUGGUCUGUNACUGACACUGAGGCGCGAAAGCGUGGGGAGCAAACAGGAUUAGAUACCCUGGUAGUCCACGCCGUANACGAUGAGUGCUNNGUGUUGGGGGGUCGAACCUCGGUGCUGAAGUUAACGCAUUAAGCACUCCGCCUGGGGAGU
rnacentral:rRNA from 1 species